ensembl:lncRNA
UAUUUAUAUACAUACGUAGACUAAUAAUAAUAAUAUUUAUUUAUUUAAUAAUAAUGAUAUACCAAAUACAUUAUAUAAAAUAAAUACAAUCUAACAUAUAUAUAGUGCUGAGUAGUUAUACCAAUCACCUUCUCUCUUCGUUACAGUACCUGUUGAGAAUCACCAGUUUGAGUCUUUUUUUAAACAGUCUUGCUUGGACUUUGCUUCAGCUCUUUUUGAAGUUUUUUCCAGACCUUCACACCACUGACUGAAAUGCACAUUCUCUUCAUGUUUAGCAACACUGUGAAAUCGAUGUUUGACAAUGAAGCUAAAUAGAAACUGUAAUUGAAGAUUGAGAGAGAGAGAUGGACAGACGGCGGAUAGAGUAGAGAGAGAGAGAGAGAGAGAGAGAGAGAGAGAGAGAGAGAGAGAGAGAGAGAGAGAGAGAGACUAAUGGAGAGAGCAGGGAUCUGAUUUCCGGCAACACGUAGCUGAGGACAGAGCAGGUCCCUAUCCGCUCUUCUUCCGCCCACUUCUCGCUACCCCGUGCAGAGCUCAUGCAUGUGAGCUCCAUGUGGGACCGGCGACACCGUCCAACGGUCAGAGGCUACUGGUGACUUUACAGAGACGGACGGGACUCGGCGGAAUCACGCCGUUAGAACCGAGCUCGUCGUUCGGGGUGAUGAAACGCUCCACUCUUCCGACCCAGGAGCAGCCUGCCCUGGAGGGCGUGGCCGAAGAGGAGGACGUGUUGGCCGCGGAGGUGAGCUCCACGAGCACGCUGGAGCCCGGCCACACUCAGGUAGCUUGUGAGGAAGAGGAUAAGAGGGAGGAAGAGGCCCAGCUGUCAGUGUCUGGGAUGGAAGCAGAGUUUGUCCAGCUGACCUUCAGGAAGCAGGUGUCCUAUAGGAAAGCUAUAGCUAAAUCGGGCCUGCACCAUCUGCCCUGUCAGCCGGGCACAUCGUCUCUGAACAGGAGCGACCCAGAAGCAGAUAUCCGCAGCACUUUGGACUGGACUGAGUCGGCAGUGUAUGGAGAUCACAUCUGGUUUGAAACCAACGUGUCUGGAGACUACUGUUAUGUGGGAGAGGAACACUGUAUAGCCAGAGCACUACAAAAGUCUGUCAGUCGAAGGAAGUGUGCUGCCUGUAAGAUAGUGGCCCACACCAUCUGUAUUGAGCAACUGGAUAAGGUAAUAGCCAUUCUGUUGGAUGACAGGCUGCCUCUCAAAGAGCCCCACUUUAGAAUUAACUUCAGGUGUAAACCGUCCUUCAGAGAAUCCGGCUCAAGGAACAUCCGAGAGUCUAUUGUAGUGCGUCAUCACUGGGUGCAUCGGAGACGGCAGGAAGGCAAAUGUAAACAAUGUGGGAAGGGCUUCCAGCAGAAGUUUGCAUUCCACAGCAAGGAGAUUGUGGCCAUCAGCUGCUCUUGGUGCAAACAGGCUUACCACAACAAGGUGUCUUGCUUCAUGCUUCAGCAAAUCGAGGAGGCUUGUCCAAUAGGAGCCCACGCUGCUCUUAUAGUUCCACCCACAUGGAUCAUUCGAGUCCGGCGCCAUCAGUCAUCUAUUAAGGCGAGUAAGAAGAAGAAGAGAGCAUCGUUCAAGAGGAAAUGCAGCAAGAAGGGAGCCGAGGUCAGACGGCAGUGGAGGCCCUUUUUAAUCCGCCCCAUCCCUGCACCACUGAUGAAGCCACUGCUGGUGUUUGUUAAUCCCAAGAGCGGAGGAAACCAGGGUGCUAAGAUCCUGCAGUCCUUCAUGUGGUAUCUGAACCCCAGACAGGUAUUUGACCUGAGCCAUGGCGGACCAAAGGAAGGCCUGGAGCUGUAUCGUAAAGUUCAUAACCUGAGGAUCAUGGCCUGUGGAGGAGAUGGCACAGUGGGCUGGAUCCUGUCUUGUCUUGAUGAACUGGCCUUGAAUCCUCAACCUCCCGUUGCCGUGUUACCACUUGGGACAGGAAAUGACCUCGCCAGGACCCUCAACUGGGGGGGGGGGUACACAGACGAGCCCCUGUCAAAGAUCCUCUCCCAUGUUGAAGACGGAGCGGUGGUCCAGCUGGACAGAUGGAAUCUACAUGUGGAACCAAACCACAGUGCAGAGGCUGAGCCGGACGAGCACCAGGCUGAUAAGCUUCCUCUAGAUAUUUUCAACAAUUACUUCAGCCUUGGAUUUGAUGCCCAUGUGACUCUAGAGUUCCAUGAGUCAAGAGAAGCCAACCCAGAGAAGUUUAACAGUCGUUUUAGGAAUAAGAUGUUCUAUGCUGGGACAGCAUUCUCAGAUUUUCUGAUGCGAAGCUCCAAAGACCUGUCAAAGCACAUCAAUGUGGUGUGUGACGGGACCGAUCUAACGUCAAAGGUCCAGGACUUGAAGCUGCAGUGUUUGGUCUUCCUCAACAUUCCCAGAUACUGUGCAGGGACGACGCCUUGGGGAAACCCCGGUGAGCAUCACGACUUUGAACCUCAACGUCAUGAUGAUGGAUACAUCGAGGUCAUCGGAUUCACUAUGACGUCACUGGCUACUCUCCAGGUCGGGGGUCAUGGCGAGAGGUUGAACCAGUGCAGGGAAGUCAUCCUCACCACCACAAAACCUCUUCCAGUACAGGUGGACGGUGAACCGUGCAGACUGGCUCCCUCUGUCAUCCGCAUCAGCCUCAGAAACCAGGCGAACAUGGUGCAGAAAACCAAACGGCAGACCUCUCUGCCACACCUCAACGAUCAGCAGCCAGUUCCGGAGAGGCUGAGGAUCCGAGUCAGCAGGAUCAGUAUGACGGACUACGAGGCUUUGCACUAUGACAAGGACAAACUAAGACAAGCAUCCAUUCCUCUGGGGCUCAUCGUGGUUUCUGGUGACAGCGACUUAGAAACCUGCAGAGAACACAUCCAGCGCCUCCAGGAGGACUUCUCUUCUGUCAAGUUCACCUUGGGACUGCAGGUUGGUAGUUGGAUGCUGGAGUUUGUAGUGUGUUUUUUGUUUGGCUCAGAGGCACACGGGAAACUAACCGCUUCAACAUUUUACCGCAAAAUCUUACCACAACCCUUUCUGAAAUAUAUUACACGCACAGGAAACAUUUAA